AAAGUCGUAACAAGGUCUCCGUUGGUGAACCAGCGGAGGGAUCAUUACAGAGUUUCUAACUCACAACCCAUCGUGAACAUACCUUUGUUGCUUCGGCGUGCCUAACCGCCGCCGAAGACCCUAAACUCUUGUUUUCUCAUGUGUUACUCUGAGUAAAUCUUGAAAUAAAUCAAAACCUUCAACAACGGAUCUCUUGGCUCUG
rnacentral:misc_RNA from 1 species